AUCUUUAAGGCAUUAAACUGAGAAGAACCACUGAGGAAAGCAUGCCACAGUCUUUCCCAAAAUCCCUGUGUCUUAAGGAACAACCAAGAAGUUAACUGGUCAGGGAAAAGAUUUCUUUUGGAACACAGAAGCCAUCGCUGUGUGCGGAAAUCCAUGACCUGGCCAUGACUUCUACAACCCGGAGGACUUGCCUGGCAUUACCGAAAAGCACAGGGGAAAGAUUCUGUGGCAGGUGCCGCAUUUCAUCCAGCUCACUCCGUGCUAGUUCCUAAGACAUCUUAAUUCUUACACAUAUGCAUAAUCGUGAUAUUUUGCCAUGAAUAACAAUAUAUUUCACAAUUAUCAACCAUUUUAAUUUUUAGCUUUCUAACCUCGGACUACUAUAAUAAAAAGAAAUAAUAAAUCCAAAAGUAGUAGUGGAAAAAAUAAGUAUCUCCAGAGAAUGAUGGGAGUUGUGAUCCAUACCUCCGUGUGCAUAAUGGUUGUACCUGCUCCAGGAAGGCGCUGGAUCCUCCCAACUCCAUGGGAAGAGAUUAGGACACAAACAACAGACAGAAGGUGACCACAGGAGGACACAGUGAGAAGCUGGCCAUCUGCAAGCCAAGGAGAGAGACCUCAGGAGAAACCAAACCUGCCAGCACCUUAAUCUUAGACUUCUAGCCCUCAGAACGGUGAGGAAAUAAAUCUCUGUUGUUCAUGCCA
ensembl:lncRNA LINC02944 long intergenic non-protein coding RNA 2944